CCUACGGGAGGCAGCAGUGGGGGAUAUUGCACAAUGGGGGAAACCCUGAUGCAGCGACGCCGCGUGGGCGAAGAAGUAUUUCGGUAUGUAAAGCCCUAUCAGCAGGGAAGAAGAAAUGACGGUACCUGAGUAAGAAGCACCGGCUAAAUACGUGCCAGCAGCCGCGGUAAUACGUAUGGUGCAAGCUUUAUCCGGAUUUACUGGGUGGAAAGGGAGCGCAGGGGGCACGGCAAGCCUGAUGUGAAAGCCCGCGGCCCAACCGCGGGACUGCAUUGGGAACUACCGGGCUGGAGUGCCGGAGAGGUAGGCGGAAUUCCUAGUGUAGCGGUGAAAUGCGUAGAUAUUAGGAGGAACACCAGUGGCGAAGGCGGCCUACUGGACGGUGACUGACGCUGAGGCUCGAAAGCGUGGGGAGCAAACAGGAUUAGAUACCCUAGUAGUC
rnacentral:rRNA from 1 species